GACUCUCUUUCCUCCAGCUGCCGGCUGGGGACUAUACUCCUUUCACCGCUCCGUUCAGGCCCCUCUUCCUACACUCCGCUGGUACUUAUUUUGGCUAGAGCUUCGUCCUGUGGUUACCUGUUCUUUCUCCCAUCCAUCUGCUGCUUCUCCCUACCCCCACCAGCCAGGUGCUCCAUGCUUUUAGUACUUUGUACUUUUUACAGGUAGGGCUUGAAUGUACUUGACAAUAUUUUAUCAAUAACCGUCUAUUCCUAAGGAGGUUUAAAGUUCCUUAACCAGUUGGCCAAAUGAAACCACUAAAAUGAGAAACAAGAAAGUGACUAAAGUUAUUAGAAGUAGUCGUAGAAUCAGAUUCAUGUUAGAUUGCAGACCAUUUUGUCGUCUUGGGUUUACUUCCUGGUUAAUGCCAUCUUGUCCAGGAUAAUCUUAGGUUAGAUCUCCAUCCUUUUAUCCCAGUGUGAGUCUGCUUUGUAUCGGUCAGAUCUCUCCGGUACUCAUGAGCACAUACAAAUUCACCUAAUGUUUGUAAGAAUUCUAUCGCAAGGUGCUUGGGUACCUAGGACGAUCUGUAAUGAUAAUACUUUUUUUUUAAAAAACUUCUGCUUGGAUCUUUCCUUCAUAGCUUGUAUGCAUUCUUCUAUAUGGCAUCACCAUUUCUAUAUAUUCAGAUUUACUGUACUGUGCUAUAAAGCUUGGUUAUUUUAACAGUAAUACAUGUACUGUCCACGGCCCUGCUCCAAAGGAACUACUUAUAUCAGACCUUAUGACAGUCUUCAAAUUACAUAUCCUGAAUUGUUUGUUGUUGUCUUGAGACAGGAUCUCUGUACAUAACCGUUGCUGCCCUGGAACUUACUUUGUAGACCAAGCUGGCCUCUUAACUCAGAGUUCUGUCUGCCUAUGCCUCCCAAGUUCUGGGGUUACAGUCGAGGGCCACCACACCUGGUUCUAUAUUGUUUGUUUUAUACAUACAUAUUUUCACUCCAUGAUUUUUCCCCCUUGGUCAGCAUGUGUCAUGCGCAUUCUUGGACACUUUAGUGAUACUGUUGUGGAUACACCAGAGUGACUGAUGAACCACCCUCACCUUUCCGGUUUCGUGCCUUCUCUUUCUGCACCACAUUCCUUUGAUAAGACUUGGCAAAGUCUCACUGUGUAGCCCUGGCUGGCCUGGAAGCUGUGCAUACCAGGAUGGCUUGGAGAGAUCCACCUGCCUCUGCUUCUUGAGUGUGGAGAUUAAAGGCGUUCACCACUAUCACUGAGUGGUGACAGUAGCAGGCUCCUUUGCCUUCUAUGUCUUGGGUAAGAGAAGAAGUGAUAACUUCCUAAACACAUUUGUAUUUCAUUGUCUGGAUCUUUCGAUGUUUUUAAUAGUGCUAUUAGUAUCAAAUAGUAUACAGCUUGUGGGGA
ensembl:lncRNA